CCUACGGGAGGCAGCAGUGAGGAAUAUUGGUCAAUGGGCGCGAGCCUGAACCAGCCAAGUAGCGUGAAGGAUGACUGCCCUACGGGUUGUAAACUUCUUUUAUAAAGGAAUAAAGUGAGGCACGUGUGCCUUUUUGUAUGUACUUUAUGAAUAAGAAUCGGCUAACUCCGUGCCAGCAGACGCGGUAAUACGGAGGCUCAGAUCGUUAUCCGGAUUUAUUUGGUUUAAAGGGAGCGUAAAUGGGUUGUUAAGUCAGUUGUGAAAGUUUGCGGCUAAACCGUAAAAUUGCAAUUGAUACUGGCAGUCGUGAGUACAGUUGAGGUAGGCGGAAUUCGUGGUGUAGCGGUGAAAUGCUUAGAUAUCACGAAGAACUCCGAUUGCGAAGGCAGCUUACUAAACUGCCACUGACAUUGAUGCUCGAAAGUGUGGGUAUCAAACAGGAUUAGAUACCCUUGUAGUC
rnacentral:rRNA from 1 species